CAGAAAUGUUGGCAUGGUAAUCCUGCCGGCAAAACGUCUCAACCUCUACACUUCUGCUAAGACACUGCUGGGCACUGGACCCUGGAGGUGUAAACACCAGAGAAAGCUAUCUGGGCAGUGAGUCCUAGCAGAAGAGGAUGAAGUUCCAAAAUGCCCUUCUCAUCAAACAGCAGAACAGCUGAUGGGCUCCAGUUACAGAACAGGAUGAUGGCACUACAGGGCAGAGUUAAGAUCUUCUGUAUAACAGAGCACAUCCUACGUGUAGGCAAUGAAGUCACAUAAGGGUUGGCAAGGAAAUAAAGACGACUGGAAAUUUAUCAGUACCAGAAGUAGGAGACCCCAAAGAAUAACUUCACAGAUGGAAGUAUGGAAUCACUACUGGGAGCUGAGCAAGACACCUGAGGAGAACAAGCUGCAAGAACCAACUGGAGGAAAGGACCUACAGAUAGUGCAGGAAGGAACUGAGAACUGCUGCUCUGUUUAAACCAGACUGACCUUGGACAAGCCCAAGACAGCAUUCACAACUGGCCAAAGACAGACAGACAAUUUUCACUGGGGACUCCAUGCUAAGAAAAAUGGACAGACCAUUCUGCAAGGAGCAGAAGGACUAGAGUCCAAGGUGAGCAGGACCUUGACAGUGUUCAAAUGACACUGUGACAGAGUAUGUGUUCCCUAUGUUCACACCUUACACACUAUUGUUACAAGGCAUGUCUUGUCAGGGAUCAUUUAAAAACUCAUAAUUUGCUGAUCACUAUCACAGCAAAAUGCACGUAUCAGCGUUACAUGUGAAGUUAUACACACAAGCUGAAAUCAUGACUAAAGUAUGUUUUCCAGAUAAGUCUGGGGAGUGGGCAAACCCAUUCCUCAGAGACAUAGGGCAAUCUGAUGCCUCAGCCGGGUGUCAACAAGGUUAAUGGACCAUUACCAGCUAAGUGGCCAUUAUUUGGCUGGAAAGGGGGCAGGGUAAAAAUCUACAUCUUCUCAAGGGAACAGUAUGGAACUUCCUUCCACACAGACAGCCUGUCGCCUUGCUCCCAGCUAGAAAUCCUUCUCAAACGGUGGGGAGUAGGACUAUAAAAAGAAGGGACAGACAUCCCUCUCUCUCUCUCCCUGCCCUUCACAUUCACUGCACCUGUGGAGACAACGGCUCAGAUAAACCUUUUCUCAACUAGUUAUUCAUGAAAAAUCUACAUUCAGAAAUCCAUAGUUAAGAUUAAAUUAAAAUAAAUCCAAACAUGUUAAACUAUGGAAAUGCACCGGUAAGGCAACCAUUGGACUCAUGGGGAAGGGUCCUGACCAAAAGAGCUUGGUUAGUAAGACUGCUGAAAGCAUGUGGUGAAAAAACUUUGCAUUGAAUCUAACAUAAGUUAACAUAAGUUAAUCUAACAUAAAUUAAUCAUCAAUUCACAUUUUAUCUUUAUUCUUUUGCAACCAUUUCUGACUGGAUUAUUACUUGUAUUCACUUAAAAUCUUUCUCUUUUUGUAAUUAGUACAUUUGUUGUAUUGUUUUAUCUAAUCCUGCAUGUUCAAGUUGAAGUGUCUGAAUAACUCCAUUUGGGGUGACAAGUUGUGUGCAUAUUAUACCCGUCAAGGAAUAAUGCGCUCAAUAUAUCUGUACUGUCCAGGAGAGGGCUGGGCAGUACAGGACAUAUAUUUCUGGGGGGAAAGCUGGGACUAGGAGCGUGUUGGGGAUCACCCUGUGGUAAUCUUUAAGGCUAGUAAGAGCAAAGGUGUGACUAGCUGCAGCACACACAGACAUGGCUGGGGUGAUUUACAUGCUGGAGGGUAUUCCAUGGAAGUUCCCUCC